rnacentral:rRNA from 1 species
UUAAGCGACUAAGCGUACACGGUGGAUGCCCUGGCAGUCAGAGGCGAUGAAGGACGUGCUAAUCUGCGAAAAGCGUCGGUAAGGUGAUAUGAACCGUUAUAGCCGGCGAUGUCCGAAUGGGGAAACCCAGUGCAAUUCGUUGCACUAUCGUUAACUGAAUACAUAGGUUAACGAGGCGAACCGGGGGAACUGAAACAUCUAAGUACCCCGAGGAAAAGAAAUCAACCGAGAUUCCCCCAGUAGCGGCGAGCGAACGGGGAGCAGCCCAGAGUCUGAAUCAGCUUGUGUGUUAGUGGAACGGUCUGGAAAGUCCGACGGUACAGGGUGAUAGUCCCGUACACCAAAAUGCACAGGUUGUGAACUCGAAGAGUAGGGCGGGACACGUGGUAUCCUGUCUGAAUAUGGGGGGACCAUCCUCCAAGGCUAAAUACUCCUGACUGACCGAUAGUGAACCAGUACCGUGAGGGAAAGGCGAAAAGAACCCCGGCGAGGGGAGUGAAAAAGAACCUGAAACCGUGUACGUACAAGCAGUGGGAGCACCUUCGGGUGUGACUGCGUACCUUUUGUAUAAUGGGUCAGCGACUUAUAUUCUGUAGCAAGGUUAACCGUAUAGGGGAGCCGCAGGGAAACCGAGUCUUAACUGGGCGUUAAGUUGCAGGGUAUAGACCCGAAACCCGGUGAUCUAGCCAUGGGCAGGUUGAAGGUUGGGUAACACUAACUGGAGGACCGAACCGACUAAUGUUGAAAAAUUAGCGGAUGACUUGUGGCUGGGGGUGAAAGGCCAAUCAAACCGGGAGAUAGCUGGUUCUCCCCGAAAGCUAUUUAGGUAGCGCCUCGUGAACUCAUCUUCGGGGGUAGAGCACUGUUUCGGCUAGGGGGUCAUCCCGACUUACCAACCCGAUGCAAACUACGAAUACCGAAGAAUGUUAUCACGGGAGACACACGGCGGGUGCUAACGUCCGUCGUGAAGAGGGAAACAACCCAGACCGCCAGCUAAGGUCCCAAAGUCAUGGUUAAGUGGGAAACGAUGUGGGAAGGCACAGACAGCCAGGAUGUUGGCUUAGAAGCAGCCAUCAUUUAAAGAAAGCGUAAUAGCUCACUGGUCGAGUCGGCCUGCGCGGAAGAUGUAACGGGGCUAAACCAUGCACCGAAGCUGCGGCAGCGACACUAUGUGUUGUUGGGUAGGGGAGCGUUCUGUAAGCCUGCGAAGGUGUGCUGUGAGGCAUGCUGGAGGUAUCAGAAGUGCGAAUGCUGACAUAAGUAACGAUAAAGCGGGUGAAAAGCCCGCUCGCCGGAAGACCAAGGGUUCCUGUCCAACGUUAAUCGGGGCAGGGUGAGUCGACCCCUAAGGCGAGGCCGAAAGGCGUAGUCGAUGGGAAACAGGUUAAUAUUCCUGUACUUGGUGUUACUGCGAAGGGGGGACGGAGAAGGCUAUGUUAGCCGGGCGACGGUUGUCCCGGUUUAAGCAUGUAGGCUGGUUAUCCAGGCAAAUCCGGAUAAUCAAGGCUGAGGUGUGAUGACGAGGCACUACGGUGCUGAAGUAACAAAUGCCCUGCUUCCAGGAAAAGCCUCUAAGCAUCAGGUAACAUCAAAUCGUACCCCAAACCGACACAGGUGGUCAGGUAGAGAAUACCAAGGCGCUUGAGAGAACUCGGGUGAAGGAACUAGGCAAAAUGGUGCCGUAACUUCGGGAGAAGGCACGCUGGUGUGUAGGUGAAGCCCCUGCGGGUGGAGCUGAGACCAGUCGAAGAUACCAGCUGGCUGCAACUGUUUAUUAAAAACACAGCACUGUGCAAACACGAAAGUGGACGUAUACGGUGUGACGCCUGCCCGGUGCCGGAAGGUUAAUUGAUGGGGUUAUCCGUAAGGAGAAGCUCUUGAUCGAAGCCCCGGUAAACGGCGGCCGUAACUAUAACGGUCCUAAGGUAGCGAAAUUCCUUGUCGGGUAAGUUCCGACCUGCACGAAUGGCGUAAUGAUGGCCAGGCUGUCUCCACCCGAGACUCAGUGAAAUUGAACUCGCUGUGAAGAUGCAGUGUACCCGCGGCAAGACGGAAAGACCCCGUGAACCUUUACUAUAGCUUGACACUGAACAUUGAGCCUUGAUGUGUAGGAUAGGUGGGAGGCUUUGAAGCGUGGACGCCAGUCUGCGUGGAGCCAACCUUGAAAUACCACCCUUUAAUGUUUGAUGUUCUAACGUUGGCCCCUUACCGGGGUUGCGGACAGUGUCUGGUGGGUAGUUUGACUGGGGCGGUCUCCUCCCAAAGCGUAACGGAGGAGCACGAAGGUUAGCUAAUCCUGGUCGGACAUCAGGAGGUUAGUGCAAUGGCAUAAGCUAGCUUGACUGCGAGCGUGACGGCGCGAGCAGGUGCGAAAGCAGGUCAUAGUGAUCCGGUGGUUCUGAAUGGAAGGGCCAUCGCUCAACGGAUAAAAGGUACUCCGGGGAUAACAGGCUGAUACCGCCCAAGAGUUCAUAUCGACGGCGGUGUUUGGCACCUCGAUGUCGGCUCAUCACAUCCUGGGGCUGAAGUAGGUCCCAAGGGUAUGGCUGUUCGCCAUUUAAAGUGGUACGCGAGCUGGGUUUAGAACGUCGUGAGACAGUUCGGUCCCUAUCUGCCGUGGGCGCUGGAGAAUUGAGGGGGGCUGCUCCUAGUACGAGAGGACCGGAGUGGACGCAUCACUGGUGUUCGGGUUGUCAUGCCAAUGGCACUGCCCGGUAGCUAAAUGCGGAAGAGAUAAGUGCUGAAAGCAUCUAAGCACGAAACUUGCCCCGAGAUGAGUUCUCCCUGAGACUUUAAGUCUCCUGAAGGAACGUUGAAGACGACGACGUUGAUAGGCCGGGUGUGUAAGCGCAGCGAUGCGUUGAGCUAACCGGUACUAAUGAACCGUGAGGCUUAACCUU